rnacentral:tRNA from 1 species
UCCCAGGUGGCUCAGACGGUAAAGCGUCUGCCUGCAAUGCGGGAGACCCAGGUUCAAUCCCUGGGUUGGGAA